rnacentral:rRNA from 1 species
GCCUCCCUCCGCCGCCGACUACACGACGUACCUACCGGGAGGGCGAGGCAAGUGGGGAAUCCUGCACAAUGGACGAAAGUCUGAUGCAGCAACGCCGCGUGGGGAUGAAGCUUUUCGGAGUGUAAACCCCUUUCGACCCGGAAGAAUGCCCGCAAGGGUUUGACGGUACGGGUAUAAGAAGCCCCGGCUAACUACGUGCCAGCCGCCGCGGUAAUUC